rnacentral:rRNA from 1 species
GGGUGUGUGAGCGGAGCACCUCUUGACAGAACGCGGCCGCUGCUCCGUCCCCUGCAGUCUUUCCUCGGUCCCCCGCUACCUCUGCUCCUCAACCUUCUUGCGGCAGAUCGUCGAGGUGGCAUGGGUUGUAGCCCCCACAGGGCGCCGCCUCUGUUCCGCCCGAUGCGGCAGGAGCUCCACAACGCCGAACGCCGGUACCCCCUCCUCCGACUCCUCCGGGGAACCAACACGAGGCUGCCUAGGGCCUACCUCUCGGGCUCGCGAUCGCACCCCUCCUUGGCGGCCAACGUCGCCACCGCCGCCUCUCCUCCGGGCCGCUUACUCGACACUACCUCUACCGGCACGAAUCCACGCCGCCCCCGCUGCCUCUCCUCCGCGCCGCUUCCUCGACGCGACCUCUAACGGCGUAAAUCCACGCCGCCCACAGCUCUACAUCGGCCUCUGGAUGCGACGCACCACCGUGACGAAGGCAGCCGCCACCGGCGCGUGAAGCACCACCGGUGGUGCCUCGAGGUUGAACCGCAAGUGCUCAAACUUGACGCGUUCCUGCCCCGCCGAGCGACCUGAUCGGUAGGGUACAGAUAAUGGAUACCGCGGGCUCGACCGACAGUUGCUUCUCUACCACAGGACUCCGUUACUGCAAAGACCCGAGUAGGGUAAAACCCGACCAAGCGACCUCCCCUCCUCGGUUUAGCGAUCGCUGUUCCAACACGCUACACCCUAGCAAGCCCGACCUCCCCAUGAAGAUGUCUUGCUCAAACAAGCAAGGUCGCUGGGAAGGUCGUGCUCGCUAAGCAAUCCCGACCCCACGGAGGUGCGGCUUGCAAGCCACCAAUAGCCACAGGAAACCUUUAUGUAUGAACAGAAGAAACAAUCCUGUUUGCACUUAAUACUUUAAAACGUGUAUGUAUUAUAUGUUCACAUACAUAGAAACAAUUUUUAUAGCUUUAAAAAGCUCCACAUCUCUUACUAUAAAAUUUUGCUUCGAGGUACGUACCUCGAGCCCGAGGUAACCAGU